UACGUAGGGCGCAAGCGUUGUCCGGAAUUAUUGGGCGUAAAGAGCUCGUAGGCGGUUUGUCGCGUCUGUUGUGAAAACCUAAGGCUCAACCUUGGGCUUGCAGUGGGUACGGGCAGACUAGAGUGCGGUAGGGGUGACUGGAAUUCCUGGUGUAGCGGUGGAAUGCGCAGAUAUCAGGAGGAACACCGAUGGCGAAGGCAGCUCACUGGGACGGUAUUGACGCUGAGACGCGAAAGCGUGGGGAGCAAACAGG
rnacentral:rRNA from 1 species